AGACGCUGGUGGAAAACCUCAAGACCGACCUCGACGAUUCGCUCACCAUCGAUGAGCUCAACCAGCAUGUCGCGGACAUGACCGCCGACA
rnacentral:RNase_MRP_RNA from 1 species